rnacentral:lncRNA from 1 species
UUCAGUGCAUGUGAUUUAUUUUAUUUUAUUUUUAUUUUUAUUUUUUGGGUUGUGGACAUAUGCUUGGGGCUUUGUUUCAUUUUGAAUAAUGUAGUUCUACAUCAUAGCUUGUUUGUAUAUAACUUGUUGAUGUAACUUUCUCUUCUUCUCUGUUUUUCGUUUUUUCAUUUUUUUCAUAUUGUUGAGAGCUUUAUAGAAUGUGUAUUGACAUAAUACAUACAUUAAUAUUAUUUUUGCUGCUGCUACAGUCUACAUCUAUGUUGGUUUCAACAAACUUCCCUCAGAUAGAUGGAACGAGAGCCAAGUUCUGCAACAAAAUGAAUAUCCAAAUUGAGAGACAAAGACAGAAAGGAAAUAAUAACAACAACAAAAACAAUAAUAAUAAUAAUAAUAAUAAUAAUUUGGGGUAUAGGGUUUGAAGGAAGGACCUAGCUAGGCAUGUGAGAGGAGGGGACAAAUAGAGAUCCAAACUUUCCUCCCACAAUAAUAAUGGAAUUAAAAACUUUACUGAGUCGGUGUGAAACUGUAGUGGUACUGAUGUAUGCUUUGGAAACUGUUUAUCUUAUCACAAAGCACAGUGUGAGUUUGAGGAAAUUUCCAUGGUUUUUUACCUCUAUUUGCUUCUAAUCAACCAAUAUACUGUGUUGUUGGCACCAUGGUCCCCGCACUGGGCAGACAAGCAACAUGCCUUACACAAAAGCAGAGUGAAUGAUGAAAGCCAAAGACGGGCCUCACGAAAGUGUGUAGCUUCGUCCUCCAUUUUGCAGGCAAAUUCUGACAAGCUGUCUGCUCCUGGAGCAAUGCUUUUUUGUCUAUAGUGUGAACAUCAAAUUGUAGCGGGCUUUAAGUAGGUAAUCUAAGUGCCUUCGAAUUCUACCCCAGCUACUGUAGUCUCAAAUCUUCUGGGUUGACCCCCAAUCUAGCGUAUUUAUUUUCUCCCGUGAGGUACCUUCAAUCAGAUCAAACCCUAAUCCUAAUAAUACACAUGAAGGCCACAAUGUGAUUCUAAAUUUGGUAUCUAUCAAGAUUAAGCUUUUGAGUAAAAUACAGGGCAUUCUCUCCUAUGUCUUAUUUAUUCAUUUAUUUUGAUCUAGUGGUGUUAGUCAUUUUUAAUUACUGAAUAAGGUGACGAAAUACUGAUGCAGAACCUGUCAUUAGUUCCUCAUAAGGUUGUUCUGGACUGCAAGGUUUUCUGUUUUAAAAGCCUGACACACCUCCGCCCUUUUCACUGUAGAGGUCAGUGUACAAUCUUCUCUGUGAACUGUCCACACACACACACAUGCAGGUAUUGUCUAAUGGUGGCAAACCCUAAAACUAUGUGUUGCUGCAUAUCUUGACCUACUUUGUACAACUCAAAUUGUCAACCACAAUCUUUCAUUCCCCUUUUCUUUAAGUUUAAUUUAUUUAUUUAUGUAUUUAUUUCCCUCAUGUUAUGUAGAGCUAUCUUGCCCAUUGCAAAGAAAAAAUGCAGAAGUGAUAAGUUGCCCUUAAAAUACAGCUAGCCCUUGCCUGACAGCAGAGGACAAGUAUUAAUCACAUGCUUCAAAACCUUAAAGAGGAGAAGUUCUUAAAAGCUCAGACAUGUUUGAAUGAUUGUGAAAUGGUAGGAACCCUCCUGUUUAUCAAAUGGCCACACAGCUCCUAACAAGUUAGGGUUCAAAGUUUUUUUUUUUUUUUUUUUUUUUUUUUCUGUCUUCCCUCUUUCUUUUUUAAUUCUUUUAAAUGGAUGAGAGAAUCCAAGUCCAACAAAUGCAGUUGUUCAACACCCAAGGGUGGGCCUUUGCAGGGCAUCACAAAUGUGUGUAUGUGUGUGUGUGUGUGUGUGUGUGUGUACAUAUUUCUCUCCUCACCUUUGCUUAACACUUAUCAGGAAGGAAAGUAUUGGAGAGGCCCUGAUUUCUGCAAGGAAACACCAAUCCACCAUUUUGUAGUACAGCAACACUAGUUUGAUGAGGGAGGUCAUUUUGAGGAUUGUUAUGCUUGGGAAGUUGUGCUUCAUGGCCCCCAGAUACAUGAAAUCUGUGUAUUUGGGCACCAAAGGAGGAAGAUUAAUGAAAAAUAAAUUAAAUUUAAAAGUCAAGAAGAAAUGAAUAGGAAAGGAAGUAAACCUCCUCAUUGUUGCAGGCAGGCUUGGACUAAUCCCAUUGGCAUUGGUGUUGCAAUGGUCAACAGAUGCAGCAAAAGAAUCAGGAACCUUUUGUUGGUGGCCUUUCUCUCAUGGACCAGGAAAUAAGGCAACACGAGGGGGCAGAAAACCUUUAAAAAAAAAUAAAAAUGAAUGAAUAAUUAAAGAACGAAAGAAAGAAAGAAAGAAAGAAAGAAAGAAAAAAAAAAAAAAAAAAAACUAGAUAAGAGAAUGAGAAGCAGCUAACUACCUGAAGUGUAACGUGUAGUAGGCCGGCCUUGUCACACAUUCAUUUGGCAUCCAUCCCCAUGCAAUCAAGCAAUCAAGCCCAUGGAUGGGCCCAUCUCCUAAUCUACUCACAUAUGUCUACAAAAGCAAAG